UACUAGGCAGUAGGAAUAUAGCAGUGAAAAAACAGACCUUCUCUCUGUUCUCACAGAGCCUAUGGUCAAAUCAUAAUCAUAUAUUGCUUUAUAAUAGUAAGUUACUACGUGAGAAGAGGGAAAGGAACCUGAUACAUAGCAGGAAUGCAGGGGAAGUUUUCUUUGAGUAUAAUGUUUGAAAUGAGACCAACAGAACUGAGAGAGCAUUCCAGGAUUUCCAAAUUCUACAUAUGUCAAUUGUCGACCCCAAACUGAAACAGGACACUCAAAGCAUCCAAGAGACAAAAAUGAGAAUAAAAAGAGAAUAAUCUUACAUGUAGAUCAUCCUGAGUGGAGGGGAAAAAAUCAGACUUUUAAAUAUGAAACCAUAUAACCUAGGAGAGUUGGACAGAUAACAACGCCCACUCCUUGCUGUUGAUGGGAAAGGACUAAAUGGCCUUGAUAUGUGAAAGGCUAUGCUGAUCUGCCCCUUGAUCAAAGAACUUUAAAUGGAUACCUGGCAAAUCAAUGCAUAAUCUUAAUGAAGACUACUACAAGAACUUUUAACAGAUGC